rnacentral:misc_RNA from 1 species
CCGUUUGCGGUGUCUCCCUCUUUGCCUGCCCCCACAAGGGCAACGACGCCACGCAGUGAGUACCCUUGCACACCCUCAGAGACAUCAACGGCGUUGGCGCACUGUCCACCUGGCAUUGCGGGCCUGUUCUUCCUCUCUCCUUUGUUGGUGGGGCAUGAACAAGGCGUACGACAUCAUCGUGAUCGGCUCCGGCGCCGCGGGCUGUGCGGCCGCGCGCGCCUGCGCUCUGCACCACCCUGCUGCCUCCAUCGCCCUCAUUGAGCAAGGCAGUCGCACGGCUGUUCCGUGGGUGAUGCGGGUACCACUAAUGCAGCCCUACAUCGCAUCAGUGAGGAAGGCCAGGCCAUUUCUACAGACGUUGUCGUGCGUAGCGGAGGCAAACCUAGCCGGCCGCUCUCUGCCGUUCACGCUUGGCCGUGGCCUCGGCGGCAGCUGGCUUUGCAACGACAUGAAGUACAUGCGCGGCACUCGCAAGGACUACGAAAGAUGGGCUGACGCCUCUUGGACCUACGACACGCUGCUGCCGGUUUUCAAGAGUCUGGAGGCGAACUCACGCGGCGGUUCGCGCGACCACGGUGAGGACGGCCCCCUGCGCGUGACGGAUGCACAGCGCAGCAAUAUCGACUCGGGCAUGAAUGUGCGGUUCUUCGAAGCCUGCGAGGCAGCGGGAGUGCCUGCGACGAACGACUUCAACACUGGCCAGGUGGACGGCUUCUCGGCCAUGCAGUCCUACAUCGACGGAGGCGCGCGCGUGCAGGCUUUCGACGCGUUGAUUGAGGGCACGCAGCCCCGCGCUCCAAAUCUCGAUCUGCUGGACGAAACUUGCGCUGAGCGCAUCCACUGCAGGGCUGGAAGGGUGUGCGACGUGGAGGUUUCGCACCGCGGAGACAAGAGGCUAUUAGAGGCCCGGCACGUCGUCGUGUGCGCUGGAACGCUGCGCAGUCCACUCCUGCUGCAGCACAGCGGCAUCGGUGCCAAAGGUAGCGUGCUGGACGCGCCGGCGGUCGGGCAGAACCUGAUCACCACAAGCGCCGCCGAUCUCGUCUUUCGCAUCCGCAACUCAUCCAACGUCUACAGCAAGUCCAUCAGCUGGCGCAACUCGUCGUAUUUGUACCGGCAGUGGCGCGAGUACAAGGAGAACGGCACCGGCGUGUUUAGCGCCUUCGUCGAGGGUGCUGCCUACGUGCGGUCGCAGCCGCAGCAAGACGCGCCGGAUCUGUCCAUUCUCUUCUUUCGCACCCCGCAAAUGGGGAUGACGCACUGGCCGAUGGACGGCUUCACGAUGCGGGUGACGCAUCACUACCCGUCGAGUCGCGGCGAGGUGCUCUACGACGGCAGCAAGGGCACCACGUUCAUUCGAAGCGGGAUGCUCUCCACAAGGGAGGAUGUGCUGGCCAUGGAUGAAGGGGUGCAGUGGGUGGGCCUCCUGACCACGCGCGACGGCACGCUGCAGUCAGUCAACCACGUCGAUGAGAAGGGACGGCAUGUGAGUCCGUUCUGGUCCUACGGCGCGGCACUACACCACCCCCGCGACGGCCUCAUCACACAACGCAGCACAGCUGCCUUCUUGGCGGAGCAUGUGAAGAGCGGCGGAGAUCUCUACGGCACCUGCGCCAUGGGCACCGUGGUGGACAGCCAGCUGCGCGUGAAUGGGAUUGCCGGGCUGUUCGUGGCGGACAGCAGCGUUGUGCCGUUGCCCACAGUGGCGAGUAGCAGCACGCUUGGCAGUGCCAUCGGUGCCCGCGUCGCUUCCUUUAUUCACUGAGGGAUGGCGGCGUACACUGGCUAUUGCAGUACCGUGCCUGCACUCUCCUCACUCGAAUUAGCGCGCGUGUCUACUCUUUGGUGCUGCGGUGGUGGAAGCUGCGGCUCUGUCAACACCAUGGCUUUCAGCCCCCUAUCUUUGCGCACGCGUGGGUGGCGUGUGCGUGGGUGGCGUGUGCGUGUGUGUCGCAGGCGUGUUGCUCGCUUCCUGCAUGUGGUGUUGUCGUCGUGGUCUUUGCUGAGCCGUGCGACCUCCAGUGACUGCUCCCUCACCGACACAUCAUCAUGCGGAGGACAGAGAAGCUAACGGGUUGGAGACGGAGAGAGCCUCAAUCACGGCUAACGAAGG